rnacentral:rRNA from 1 species
GUCUACAGCCAUGCCACCCUGAACAAGCUCGAUGUCUGAUCUCGAAAGCUAAGCAGGGUUGGGCCUGGUUAGUACCUGGAUGGGAGGCCACCCAAGAAGUCCAGGUGCUGUAGGCA